rnacentral:tRNA from 1 species
GGCAGAGAAUAGGGGCCGAAAACGGAUUCGAAAUCCGUUGAGUCAGCAAUGGCUCCUAGGGUUCAAAUCCCUAUCUCUCCGCCA